ensembl:lncRNA
UCUGGAGCCUUGCAGAGGAGUGGGGUUCUCCAGACCUAAAAUGGGCCUGGGGGCCUGGCAGUACCUGCGGGGCUCAGCUGGUGUCCCCCUGACACAUAAAUGCCCGUGGCUGCAGCAGCUCACCAGGACCAGAUGCCCAUGCCCUGCUGAAGGUCUGAUUGCUUUUCUGUGACAGCCAUUCACAGCCCUAUUUUGUCAAAAACUUAGCAACCGGACACAAAAAGAACCAAAAGCCUGAAACACCUUCAGAUCCCGGGACAAGCAGGGAUGGGCGAUGCUGAGGCGGGGUGUGCUUGGGGUGCUGCGGGGCUGGUGCUAGGCACCCAGCUCCCUCUGCACGGACAGAUCCUGGAGCAAGCAUGCAGAAGCCCUUACCCUGCUCUGGGUUCAUCUGCCACCACAUGCUGAGAAAUGUGUACAUGUGACGGGAAGGUCUAAUGUUAAUUUAGUUGGCUCUAAGACGUGGAGCCUCCAGGAAAACUUGUCCUUAUCUGCUCAGAUCCAUCAGGAGUUGGAGCUGCUGGGCAUUGAUACAGGGCAGGAUUGCAGGCAGCUGCUGGGAAAUCAGGGAUGUCCAGGGACCCUGGGGGAGAGCAUCCUUGGGCUGUUCCCAGCCAGGCCCCAGAGCUGCAGCGAGCCCCAGGGAAGCAGAGGGAUGCCAGCCUUGCACAAGGGCUGCUCUCACCAAGAGAUACUCUUUAGCUUUAUUCCCAGCCCCUGGGCGAGAUCCUCUGGCUGCUGGUCGUGGUCACUUCUCACCCAUCUCACUAAUGACUGCAGAACUUUCAAACGAGCACCAAUUAGCUUCUGGCCAGCACUCCUGGGCUGAUCCAUUUGGAGCCCAGCCAGGGCUCAGGCAGGCAUUAACGGAGCUCAGCUCAUUAGUGGAGGCUGGGAAGAGAAGCAGGGCUGGGCUGGGAGGGGUGGCAAGACCCGGGGGAUGCUGUGCUGCUCCCUGGACAGGACGGCACGUCCCUCCCAUCCCAGGGACUCUGGAGGAUGUAAGGGUGCAUCUGUUUCUGCUGGCAGCUGCCUUUGCCCUUUCUGGUGAAAAACAAGCAGGAUCAUGCUUCCCAUCCUCUCUCGCUGUCCCCUGUGUAACAGCCGCCCGUGGGCAGAGUAACCACAGCCAGAAGUUCCCCCUUUACCCCACCACCUACUGUCAGUAAACAAAAGGCUUUGAAAAGGAAGGCAGCAACUUUAAUGAAAAAGUCCCAGACCGGUGACACCAAAACCCUUCCUCCAGAGCAGAGCAGAGCAGACCGCCGCAGAACACCCUGCCCAGGCUCUGGUCCAUUUCGUGUCCCCAGGACACAGCCUCACACCCUGCUCGAUGUGGCUGGUGCCACCCCUUGGUAUGGGGAUGCUCUGGGCCACGUUCUGGGGUGAUAGGAGGUGGUGCCAGUUCUACCUGGGGCAGGAUCAGGCCCCCAGCGUGCCUGAGUUUCCAAUGUCAGUUACUUGGAUGCUUUGAGGCUGUGGUGAGCAGCAUAUCCAUGGACUUGAGCAGGAGCCUUCCUGCCCUGGGAGGGCAGACGGGAUGGUUCAGUGGCUGCAGGGCCACCAGUUGCUGAGAUGCCAGCCCUGACAUCAGGCUCAUGAGCCCCGGGAACUGGGGGCAGAGAAGAGCUGCUGGGUUCUCCCCGACCACGAAUUCCCAUGAUGACAACUUGCACAUGAGCCCCACUGCAACUGCUGUUGGCCCAAGGAGAUAAGUAAUAAGGCUGACAUGGACAGCAAAGGCCUGAUACUACCCGUAAAGCAUUAUUUUGUCCAACCUGCUUUCUAGGCAGUGGUGACGGUGGGCAUCCUCCCCUCAACCCUCCUGUGGAGGCUCGAGUGUCCUGUUCCCUGUGUGCUCUCCCUGGGAGCUCUCUAACUGGGCAAGAAAUUGCUGCUGGAGCUGGGCUGAGUGCAAGCAGCAUGUGUGCAAAUGGCACCUCCAUCACCCACGGGAGUCUGUGGAGGUCUUUCUGAAAUGGUGGGGAACGUCUCUCCUGCAGCACAUCGGUGCAGCUCUGCUCUGAGCCUCUGACAGAUGAGCCCCAAGUGCCAGCGCUGCCCUGUCCACCGGUGUCCAGAGGGAAGGGCUGACGGGAGCACCAAACUUCACCUCGAAGGGGAAGUCACAAUCGAAUAAAGCUUGGUAAUGUCUUAAAUGACUGAAACCA